rnacentral:rRNA from 1 species
UACGGAGGGUGCAAGCGUUAUCCGGAUUUACUGGGUUUAAAGGGUGCGUAGGCGGAUCUUUAAGUCAGUGGUGAAAUCUCUCGGCUCAACCGAGAAACUGCCAUUGAUACUAUUGAUCUUGAAUACAGUUGAGGUGGGCGGAAUGUGUCGUGUAGCGGUGAAAUGCUUAGAUAUGACACAGAACACCGAUUGCGAAGGCAGCUCGCUAAACUGUGAUUGACGCUGAGGCACGAAAGCGUGGGGAGCAAACAGG